rnacentral:tRNA from 1 species
GAAAAAUUAAUUUUAAUUAAAAAUAUUAAAUUGUCAAUUUAAAAAUGGUAUCCAUUUUUCA